rnacentral:rRNA from 1 species
AACGACUCUCGGCAACGGAUAUCUCGGCUCUCGCAUCGAUGAAGAACGCAGCGAAAUGCGAUACUUGGUGUGAAUUGCAGAAUCCCGUGAACCAUCGAGUUUUUGAACGCAAGUUGCGCCCAAAGCCUUUCGGCCGAGGGCACGUCUGCCUGGGUGUCACGCAACA